GGGGAAGCGCCAGAUCCUUGGACAUGUCCCCCGGAGCCCUGGGCUCCAGGGCCUGCGCUAUUGGAAUCGCGCUCCUGGGCGCACAGCUCCCU
rnacentral:pre_miRNA from 1 species